rnacentral:rRNA from 1 species
GAGUUUGAUCAUGGUUCAGGACGAACGCUGGUGGCGUGCCUAACACAUGCAAGUCGAACGACGGAGGUCAGAUGACAGAGACCAGAGGUCAGAAAGGGAAAUCCCCAAUCUGGCAUCCGGCUUCUGACAUCUGACUUCUGGAGUGGCGGACGGGUGAGUAACGCGUGGGUAACCUACCCAACAGACCGGGACAACACUUGGAAACGAGUGCUAAUACCGGAUACCCUAUGACUCCGGCAUCGGAGGGAUAGGAAAGGUGGCCUCUAUAUAAAAGCUACCGUUGUAGGAUGGACCCGCGUCUGAUUAGCUAGUUGGUGGGGUAACGGCCUACCAAGACGACGAUCAGUAGCCGGCCUGAGAGGGUGAACGGCCACACUGGGACUGAGACACGGCCCAGACUCCUACGGGAGGCAGCAGUGGGGAAUCUUCCGCAAUGGACGAAAGUCUGACGGAGCAACGCCGCGUGUAUGAUGAAGGCCUUCGGGUUGUAAAGUACUGUCAUUGGGGAAGAAUGGCCGCUAUGAAAAUAUUGUAGUGACAUGACGGUACCCAAGAAGGAAGCCCCGGCUAACUACGUGCCAGCAGCCGCGGUAAUACGUAGGGGGCAAGCGUUGUCCGGAAUCAUUGGGCGUAAAGGGCGCGUAGGCGGAUAGUUAAGUCCGAUGUGAAAUACCAGGGCUCAACCCUGGGGCUGCAUCGGAAACUGGUUAUCUUGAGGACAGGAGAGGAAAGUGGAAUUCCACGUGUAGCGGUGAAAUGCGUAGAUAUGUGGAGGAACACCAGUGGCGAAAGCGACUUUCUGGACUGUAACUGACGCUGAGCGCGAAAGCGUG